rnacentral:rRNA from 1 species
UACAGAGGGUGCGAGCGUUGUCCGGAAUCACUGGGCGUAAAGGGCGCGUAGGUGGCGGCCCAAGUCCAUGGUGAAAGCUCGAUGCUCAACAUCGAGUCGGCCACGGAUACUGGGUUGCUCGAGCACUGUAGGGGCAGAUGGAAUUCCGGGUGUAGCGGUGGAAUGCGUAGAGAUCCGGAAGAACACCGGUGGCGAAGGCGGUCUGCUGGGCAGUUUAGCUGACACUGAGGCGCGACAGCGUGGGGAGCAAACAGG